ACCUGCAUUCGCAAGGGGUUGAGGUCUCGCCCAUGACUCGGUCGUUGACAGUGCAGGGAGAGGAGCUCCGAAAGCGUUUCCCGUGUUCAGUGGGUUCGAUCCCGUCCCUCCCAAACCCUGUAGCCUUCGGACA
rfam:Aptenodytes forsteri contig30069, whole genome shotgun sequence.